CUGGGGCCAUUCCGAGUCCCGCGGACGAACUUCGCCCACGCCCCCCACCAAGGCUAUAGCCCACGCGUUUCUUGGCCUUUUUUCCGCUGGGGGGUCUUGUGACCCCGACCUUCGGGGGCUGAUUUUUGGGCGCGGCUGUGCCCGUGGCCUAUUUUUGGCACACGGAGGCCGCCCGCCAAGUCUGGGGCCAUUCCGAGUCCCGCGGACGAACUUCGCCCACGCCCCCCACCAAGGCUAUAGUCUACGCGUUUCUUGGCCUUUUUUCUGGUGGGGGGUCUCGUGACCCCGACCUUCGGGGGCUGAUUUUUGGGCGCGGCUGUGCCCGUGGCCUAUUUUUCGCACACGGAGGCCACCCGCCAAGUCUGGGGCCAUUCCGAGUCCCGCGGACGAACUUCGCCCACGCCCCCCACCAAGGCUAUAGCCCACGCGUUUCUUGGCCUUUUUUCCGCUGGGGGGUCUUGGGACCCCGACCUUCGGGGGCUGAUUUUUGGGCGCGGCUGUGCCCGUGGCCUAUUUUUGGCACACGGAGGCCGCCCGCCAAGUCUGGGGCCAUUCCGAGUCCCGCGGACGAACUUCGCCCACGCCCCCCACCAAGGCUAUAGCCCACGCGUUUCUUGGCCAUUUUUCCGCUGGGGGGUCUUGGGACCCCGACCUUCGGGGGCUGAUUUUUGGGCGCGGCUGUGCCCGUGGCCUAUUUUUGGCACACGGAGGCCGCCCGCCAAGUCUGGGGCCAUUCCGAGUCCCGCGGACGAACUUCGCCCACGCCCCCCACCAAGGCUAUAGCCCACGCGUUUCUUGGCCAUUUUUCCGCUGGGGGGUCUUGGGACCCCGACCUUCGGGGGCUGAUUUUUGGGUGCGGCUGUGCCCGUGGCCUAUUUUUGGCACACGGAGGCCGCCCGCCAAGUCUGGGGCCAUUCCGAGUCCCGCGGACGAACUUCGCCCACGUCCCCCACCAAGGCUAUAGCCCACGCGUUUCUUGGCCAUUUUUCCGCUGGGGGGUCUUGGGACCACGACCUUCGGGGGCUGAUUUUUGGGCGCGGCUGUGCCCGGGGCCUAUUUUUGGCACACGGAGGCCGCCCGCCAAGUCUGGGGCCAUUCCGAGUCCCGCGGACGAACUUCGCCCACGCCCCCCACCAAGGCUAUAGCCCAC
rnacentral:lncRNA from 1 species